AGAAAUGGUUGGAAUUUAUUCAAUAUAAAAUGCCCUUAUUACUCAUGAUACACAAUGCAUGCUCAUAUCAACUGCCAAUAAAGCAGCUUAUAUGUUCUUUAUUUGAUAUGUUUGCAGCAAUCAGGCCAAGUACGUUCUGCAGAAGACCCAAGUUGUAAAUUGUUCAUAGGUAGACUAGCUGCUCAGUAAUCUGACACUUCAAAUAAAUGAUAUUUCAUGGUAUAAAUCAUCCAUGGAAAGAAUAGUAUCAGUAGCUGAGUCAUCCUGUCUCCACAGGCAUGUUUCAUCUCCCUCUCUCUGUAUCUUUAGCCAAUACCCUGGCUCCUCAAAUAACCUCAAUAUCUGCUCAAAUACAGACCACCAAAUUCCUUGUAAAUUACAACAAUUAACUUAAAACAACAAAUAAUGAUCUGAAUUUCAGUAUAUUUUAUGUAAUCUAAUUUGAAAGAAUAUGACUAUCAGUGAGUAAUUUUAAAAGAACCAACUUCUCAUUUUAAAACGAGGGGAGAAUUAUAUUCACCAUGGACAUUUUUGGCCUCCUAGAAGAUGAAUGCUUAAGGCAGAGGCGGGCUGCAAGCAUCAUUAUUUCCAUCUCUUCUUCCACGUAGUUGUCCUUCAGGCAAGGAUCAAUCAGAUGUUCCGGUAGGCCGGAACUUAGUAAAGAUCUUGCCUGCAAAUCAUAGAAGCAAAAUGCCAAAAAACUUUUAGAUGAAGGCAGUUCUUUGUGAGAAAAAAUAAAUAAAUAAAAAUUAUUGUAUUACCCAUAGCACUAAGCUUUCUUGUUUUGCCUGGUUCUUUUGGAUAGCCUCUUUCCCAGUGAUUAGUUCCAGAAGUACAACUCCAUAGGAGUAGACAUCUAUUUUCUCAUCUACCUUUCCAUACAUCAUGUACUCUGGGGCCAAGUAACCAAACGUGCCCACAACAUUAAAUGGCUUUAUGUUAGCUGAAGAUACUUGAUCUGAUUGAUUGUAUACCAUUGCUUCUCCAAAAUCCGAGAGUUGUGGCUGGCAAUUCUCAGAGAGGAGAAUGUUAGAUGAUUUCACAUCUCUGUGAAUUAUUGGAGGAUUGAAAGAACAAUGAAGGUACUCCAAUGCCUUUGCCACACCAAUGGCAACUCCCAUCCUCUCCCUCCACUUGAGUUGUUUAAAAUUUUGGUUCAAGCUUCCCUUCAGCAGAUUACACACAAUUGCAUGAAUAUCCUCGCCUUCACAGUACCCAAUUAUCUUAAUGAUGUUUUCGUGUUUCAUGCUAGAUAAGAUCUCCACUUCUCGGUGAAGAUCCUCUGCAGAAAUGUGUGUUGUUUUAAGGACCUUCACAGCUGCAUCCCGACCGUCCUCGAGCUUGGCACGAUAUACUUUACUGUUCCCUCCUUCUCCAAUCACCAUGUUAGGGCUGAAAUUUUCAGUUGCUGAAAUGAGCUCUUCCAUGUUGAAAAUCCUGAUGGACCGCUGGGAUUCUAGGAUCACUAAUCUGUGAAAUAACUUCUUCGCAAAGAAGUUUGGAACCUCCACUUUUUUCCUGGCACCUUGCCAUCCUGGACUAUCGCUUUGUUGAAUUGAUUUUGGUAUCAAGGAAGGUGGUGCAGCAAAUGAUUUUUGUAACUGAUGGGCAGGAGGAAAGUAAAAUUCUUCUGAUGAAGAUGAUGGAAAGGAUUGAAGAACUGCACAAGAAGAGCCUUGUUGUGAGGUUCCUUGCCUCUGGAGUAUGAUUCUGCCCACAUUGUCGAUGAUCAGGAGGCUACAAGCUGGGGGCAAGCAUUUUAGGCAAGUACUGAUUACUGAAUCUUUGGGCCUUGAAAGGCUGCAUCCAAGUGCAAGUAUGGUUGCAAAAUUGACGCGAACUUGAUGGGUUAAUUCAGAAAUGAAAGAGUCCCCGGUGCAGAUUUUUAUCAGGAAAUCCACCUGCUUGGACUUGCAGAGAUCUUCAUGGGUAUGAAAAGUGUUGGGAUCAAAAGUAUCAAAAGGAUCUUGAACAUGAAUGGCGAUCACAUAAUCCCCUGGCUUGACUACUACAUUGAGUAAUCGCAGCAGCAUUUCUCUGCUAUAGUUACCUGAUUUUAGACCAACUAUAAUUGUCCUAUUCUUUGUUGUCCUUCUCCUCAGAAGUGAAGAAAAUUUCCACUCUGAGCUUAGUCUCCCAACCAUCAUAAAUGAUACUGCUUCUGAUAUUCAGUCACCAAUUCCCAUUGCAGAAUCAAGAAGCAGUGCCCUCAUUUUUUUACCAAUUCCAGCAUUUUAUUUCUUGGACCUGAUUUUGCCAUGUCCACCAAUUUAUUUAUUGCUAUAGUAGUUAUGAAUAGGACCAGUUUGAUUUAAUGUAAUAUUUUUUUUUCUUAAUAAAUGACUCUGAUUGAG
rnacentral:misc_RNA from 1 species